UCUAUGUAUCUUAAGUAAAAUUUUAUACUGUAUCUUAAGAGUUUUUAAUGCUCUCGAAUUAAACAUUCGAACAUUAAGAAUAUUAAAUGGAUUUUUUACAAACAACGUACCAAUAAGAAUAAGACCCGCUUACUGCUCAAAAAUGUCCUCACUAUAAUAGGAGAAAUAACUUUACCAAGUUUCGCAGUCGAACUCUUUAAAAAGGUCCAGUAUGAGCGAUUGAACAAGAAUUGGAUGUAAGGGAGCAAAUCCAUUGUAUUGAGGAUUUAAUGGACAACCCCCAAAUACAGUCUCUUGAGAAAGAAACAAUCCGAUGGGACUUUGUUAAAGAAAAACUACAUAACCAGAAGUAUAAUAAGAAAAGAAUAAAAGGAUCCAUGCUAGAAUUAAUUAGAAAGACUAGAAGAUGCAUGGAGACUAACAACAUUUUAUUAACCAGAGAGGACAAAACUAAAAGAAUAAUCAUAAUGAAAGAAGAAGAAUAUGAUAACCACCUAUUGAAGUACAUAGAAGAAUCGACCCCC
rnacentral:lncRNA from 1 species